ensembl:lncRNA
CACAAAACAACUGACGGGCAAGUACUCUUGACAAACACACAACUUUAGACAAAACAAACAAGUUCCCAAGUUGAGCGUAAUUUACUUACAACAUUCCUGAUUUCCAAGAAAACAUGAGUAUAUUCAUCAUCGGAAGUGUGUGGGCAAUAACUCACUGUUCUUCAGAAUGCGCAUACUGUGAUUUUGUUUAUUACUUAACCAGUCAGACAUCAUACAUACAGAAUAAACUGAAUACUGACUGAGAUUGGCAUUACACCCUGCAAGGGAUGUUCUGACUUUGCCUGCAGUGCUGUUGUCAUUCAAAGAUGACAUGGUUGAUGAAGUCAGUGACGGCUUCAGCCUUUGAUGCAAUUAUUUUUCUCGCUUUUUUUUCAGGUGGAAAUGCUGUGGGCAUCUGGAUCUCCGAGUAGAUGAGGAAGACAAUCACCUCCACUUGGUUCUGUGAUCUGGACUGCGAUAGGCACUGGGAUAAACAACCACUGUUUAAUAACCCAACAGCUUUGAGAAACCAACACUUUCACCCAAUGGGAGCCUUCAGGAUCCAAGAAGAAAGUUCCCAGCACAACCAACCAAUCAUCUCACCUGACACUGUCCCCCGUGUGUCUUGUACAGCCAAACACCAAACAUUGCCAGAGCUUACCUGUGAAGUUAUUCUGGGACAGGUGAGCACUCAGUUUACCCACGCAGUCUCCAUAGACACUGCACUGAAUCCAUGUUGAUUGUGAAAAAAUGCUAGCUAACUGUUGUAAUAUUGUAUUUUGUGAUGUGGACUAUUACCUGGCUAGCUUCUCUUUUGUUCAUGAAGUGGCUGGUUAAGUCAAGGUUGGAUGUUGUUGAGAAAGUUGUUUGUUUACUUGAUCAAAUAUCAGAAAUACCAUUCAAUCUGGAGCCAUGCCUUGCCGUGUAUUGAUUUGCUAAAAUCAAAAGAUGACAUUUAAGGUCACUCCCUCAUCCUGUUUCCAUCCACUGAAGAGACCGGAAGCAGUCAAAGUUUAAUCUAAAACAUUUUGUGUACACAACCAGGCAGUGGUGUGUACAGGCAGCUCCACAAUCAUUAGGAGCUCCUAUUAUGCAGCCCCAAACCAACAUGUUGGGCUUAUAUGGCCACAGGCUCCAGUUAUCUCCAUGAGAAGUAAUUGAAGCGCUAAAAUGUUUGACAUAGAAGUUGAGUAAACAGUAAAUCCUACAGAAAAUCUGAAAGCAAAUGCAGCCCCACUUUCAAUUUACUUUGUUAUGCCAUCGGCGACGUCAUUAGUUUGGUGUGCAGAAGUGGGUAUGGCUGUAGAAGUGUAUCUCUGGUGUAUUUCACCCUCUGUUGCAAUAAUAGUGCAGCCUGUUCAUGAGUCUAGCAAUGGAGUGGCUGAAUUGAAGGGAAAUACCCAUGACGUAUCUGCUUGGCUAUACUGCAUUUAAGUCACAUGUUCUUCAGGAAUGCAGAUGACACCAAGAUGUGCACCCAGUAUUCCCCUGGACAAACAUGAAAGACAAAACAGGUCUUUUUGCUGACAUGUCAAAAUACACUAGGCUCUAACCUUCGAACAGCAUUACUCAAGCAUGUAUUUCAAUUCAUCCAAUGACCUGCUUUUACACAAGCACUUGGGCUUUAGCUCAGUGAAAACAAACCAGGCAGGUUUCAUUUUCUUUUUUAAAUGAAAGAUUAAACAAGGAGGGCAGGGUAAUGGAUAAGAUAAUUAGGUGGUCAGUCCAUCUCAAAUGGAGGGUCAGCAGGGAUUAGAGGAGCACCUGUUUCAUUACCCCUGUCCACGAGCCCUGCCAGGCUUACUCAGAAGUAGCAGUUAGCUGUGAGCUGGAGGACAGAUGUUAGCCCGUGGUCCUCUGACUCACCUCCUCUUCUGCCUAGGAACCGGUUCUCCAAAAUCACACGUUCCCUCUAAAAUGUGUUGAGGAGGGUCAUUUUUUACCUAUGCACAUGAAUCAACAGACAAGGAGGCCGAAGAUUCUGUUCCCUUGUUGAUUUGGUUGCAAAUCAGCUCCCCGGUAGGGUCUUCUGCCAACUGGUAUGGUGUGGUGGAGAGAGGGGCAUGGCGUUUUGGCGUUUUGGUUGCAUGCGAUGUGGGCACACUGCUAUGACUUAAAGAGAGGUGGCCUCUUCGCUGUGCUUUUAAAAGCUUAAUUUAUAUGGGAUGCGCCUUGGAGAGUUGGCUGUUUAUAGCAGGGCCUUGGGUAGAGAGAGUUGGCAGGGGGUCCCAUACUAUGAUUUACAACUGCCCACUCGGUCACUUUUUCCCACAGGAAACCCUCUGUGGUGCGCUAUCACGGUGCUAACGCUAACAACAAUGCUUACUCUAACUGGAGUCAGUGUGAAGGAUUUUUCUAACUUGGAGGAUUGUGCUCAUUGCUUGUUAGCUAAAAGAGGAAAGUGGGGUGUUUUUAACAAACUGGAAAGUGAGAUGUUUUUAAUGUCUUGAUUCAGUUAAUCUCUACCAAAAAUGAGACAAAUGCAUAAAUACAAAUAAAAAAUUUCACUUAAGAAAUAGUGAGUAGUUGACGCCAAUUGAUAAUGCAUGUAUCUACAGUUGUGCUCAAACGUUUGCAUAUCCUUGGAGAAUUGGUAAUAUAUGUACCAUUUGUAAAGAAAACAUGAGUGAGCAGGAAAAACACAUGUAUUUUAUUUCUUAUGCGAUUCACAUUCAACUGUAGGUCAUAACAGAAUGGCACAAUCAUAAAACAAAACAUGGCAACAAAGAAAAAAGUUAACUGACCCCUGAUCAAAAGUCUGCAUACCCUUAGUUCUUAAUACUGUGUAUUACCCCCUUUAGCAUCAAUGACAGCGUGCAGUCUUUUGUAAUAGUUGUCAAUGAGGCCCCGAAUUCUAGCAGGUGGUAUAACUGCCCAUUCGUCUUGGAAAAAUUCCUCCAGUUCAUGCAAAAUCUUUAGUCGUCUUGCAUGAACCUCACAUUUGAGAUCUCCCCAGAGUGGCUUGAUGAUAUUAAGGUCAGGAGACUGUGUUGGCCACUCCAGAACCUUCAACUUUUUCUGCUGUAACCACUGGAGGGUCAACUUGGCCUUGUGCUUAGGGUCAUUGUCAUGCUGGAAAGUCCAAGAGCAUCCCAUAUGCAGCUUUCGUACAGAAGAAUGCAAAUUGUCUGCCAGUAUUUUCUCAUAACAUGCUGCAUUCAUCUUGCCAUAAAUGUUCUGAAAAUUCCCCCCAGAAGGUGUGAGGUGUGUCAAGGUUUUGUCGGGCAUAAUGUAACUGGGCUAUUUUGUGUAAUUGGCACGUUAAUGGCUUCUUUCUGGAAACUCGAUCAUGCUCAUCUUUGUCUAAGUAUUAUCGUAUUGUUCUCCUUGAAAUAACCACACCAUCUUUUUCCAGAGCAGCCUGUGUUUCUCCUGAGGUUACCUGUGGGAUUUUCUUUGUGUCCCCAACAAUUCUUCUGGCAGUUUUGGUUGAAAUCUUUCUUGGUCUAUCUGACCUUGGCUUGGUAUCAAGCUUGGUAUCUAAUUGCAAUUUAAAAAGCCACAGCCACAGGAAAUUCACCUAUAAUUGUCAUUUUAACCUGUGUGUUUCACCUUGUGUGUCUGUAACAAUGUAACAAUAAACUUUUGAUCAGGGCCAUUUGGGUGAUUUCUCUUGUCAUUAUGAUUUCAAAAGGAGCCAAACAACUAUGUGGUAAUAAAUGGCUUCAUAUGGUCACUAUCCUAAAAAAAAAAAGAAAAGAAAAUGAAACGCAAUCGUCAUAUUUAUGCAAACUUAUAAACAACUGUAUAAAUAAAACUGGAAAAAUCUAAUCUGGUUUAUCAGUUGUGUCCGUGAAAACAUAAUUAACUGUUGUUGGUUGUGGGCUUGUGUCGACUUUACACGCAGCUUUCCACGAAUCCUCCUCCACACAUCUGCCUGUGGGCUGACAUCUCCGUUGUUCGUCGUUCCUCGAUGGUGAGUUCAUCACUCACAUCAUUUUAAUGCUGUUUUGAUAAGACUAUCUGUUCUUG